rnacentral:misc_RNA from 1 species
GAUGAAGAACGCAGCAAAAUGCGAUAAGUAAUGUGAAUUGCAGAAUUCAGUGAAUCAUCGAAUCUUUGAACGCACAUUGCGCCCGCUGGUAUUCCGGCGGGCAUGCCUGUUCGAGCGUCAUUUCAACCCUCAAGCCCCCGGGUUUGGUGUUGGGGAUCGGCUCUGCCCUUCUGGGCGGUGCCGCCCCCGAAAUACAUUGGCGGUCUCGCUGCAGCCUCCAUUGCGUAGUAGCUAACACCUCGCAACUGGAACGCGGCGCGGCCAUGCCGUAAAACCCCAACUUCUGAAUGUUGACCUCGGAUCAGGUAGCAAUACCCGCUGAACUUAAGCAUAUCAAUAAGCGGAGGA